ACUCAUAGAGAUCCGCCUGCUUUUGCUUCUUGAGUGCUGGGAUUAAAGUUUUGUGCCAUCAUGCUUAGCUUUGAGUGCACUCUUUUUUUUUUUUUAAGGAAUCUUUUUCCGUCUCCAGCACAGAGAUUACUUUAACUGCAAAUACAAUGUUUACUCCCCUUUACAGAUGUGGAAACCCAGGUUGGAGAGCCUACCGACUUGCUGAAUUUGUACAGCUGGAGUUUGAACCCAGGCUAUCCCAAGUGGGGCACAUAGGCCACCGGAGGAGCCUAAAACAUGAAGGAACACCCUGUUGAAGGUGGCAUGAAGGAACUGGGCACUACCAGGACAAAAUAGAGCCUCAGCCUGGCACUGAAAUAAUUGACAUGAUAGAAAGGCACCUCAGGAGGUCCUUUCUACAGGCACCAGUGAUCGUCAGGAUGUAGGCCUGUCUUCAGCAACCUCCUGGCUGCAUCCUGUUGGGCUUAUGUCUGGGUGAAGAUGUGCAGAGGGUUGAACCCCCAGAGUGGAGGAGAGCCGCAGAGAGAACAGGAGAGGAAAGAUCAGUGCCUUGCACAACCAUCAUCAGAGAAGCUUCCUUUUGCAGUAGAUGGAAAUUAACCCAGAGACCCACAACUGGACAACGUGCAGAGAAUGAAAGGCUUUGGAGUCCUCAGUCCUAAAUGGGAUGUCUUCAUCCAACAUCUCCCCUUUUAAGGGUCAGGGAUCCAUGUGGAAGAGGAAGUGGGAAGAUUCUAAUAGCCGGAGGCGAUGGAUGAUAUCAAGGGAAACAGCAUCUUCCAGACACAACAGGACUGAUGCACAUAUGAACUCAGAGACUGUGGCAGCAUACACCUGUGAGACCCGCACAGGUCCAAGCCAGAUGGGUACCUGGCACUGAGACGGAGAAGUGGACACAGGGUGCGACCCUUAGCCAAGAACCUAUUUGCCAUUGAUACCUGGCUGGAAAAGGGGGAAAAAACUCCAGUUUUCCCCAAGGUAGUGUCACUGGGUAUA